rnacentral:rRNA from 1 species
AUUGAACGCUGGCGGCAUGCCUAACACAUGCAAGUCGAACGGCAGCACGGCAGUAGCAAUACUGUGGGUGGCGAGUGGCGGACGGGUGAGGAAUACGUCGGAAUCUGCCCAGUCGUGGGGGAUAACUAGCCGAAAGGUUAGCUAAUACCGCAUACGACCGAGAGGUGAAAGCGGGGGACCGCAAGGCCUCGCGCGAUUGGAUGAGCCGACGUCGGAUUAGCUAGUUGGUGGGGUAAAGGCCCACCAAGGCGACGAUCCGUAGCUGGUCUGAGAGGAUGAUCAGCCACACUGGAACUGAGACACGGUCCAGACUCCUACGGGAGGCAGCAGUGGGGAAUAUUGGACAAUGGGCGCAAGCCUGAUCCAGCAAUGCCGCGUGUGUGAAGAAGGCCUCGGUUGUAAGCACUUUAUCUAGACGAAAGACGUGGAGUAUACUCUGACGUGCUGACGGUACC